GACGUAGGUGGCGAACGUUAUCCGGAAUUAUUGGGCGUAAAGGGUGCGUAGAUGGCCUGACAAGUUAGCAGUGGGAAAUCGAGGCUCAACCUCGUGGAAACUGAUAAUACUGUCUGGCUCGAGUACAGGAGAGGUUAACGGAACUCCAUGUGGAGCGGUAAAAUGUGUAGAUAUAUGGAAGAACACCAAUAACGGCGAAGGCAGUUAACUAUUCUGUUACUGACAUUGAAGCACGAAAGCGUGGGGAGCAAAACGG
rnacentral:rRNA from 1 species